AAAGUUGAAAAGAACUUUGAAGAGAGAGUUCAAGAGUACGUGAAACCGUUCAGGGGUAAACCUGAGAAACCCAAAAGAUCGAAUGGGGAGAUUCAUCGUCAGCACAUUUUGUAUAUGUAUGAGCUACGAUGCGGGUUACUACUUGUAGUAUUGCCUGCACGUUCUUGUAUAUUUAGUUGCAAGAUGUUGUCGUCGUGCACUUCUCCCCUAGUAGGACGUCGCGACCCGUUGGGUGUCGGUCUACGGCCCAAGUGGGAGCCUUUGAUAUUUUAUUAUAUUAAAGACCCUUGGUGUUUUCUGACCGGCUACUCGGCGGUACUCGUACGGUAUUAAGCCGCAUAUUUAUUAUGCGUUCAUAUCCGUCGCAAGCGCGGCCAAUUUCUAGUAGUACGGACCUAGUGCCGUCGCUGGUAUUGGCCAGCUGUUGGUUGUACGGUGUUCUAGAACUGGCUUAAAAAUUUUACCGGUCGGCGAUGCUACUGCUUUGGGUACUUUCAGGACCCGUCUUGAAACACGGACCAAGGAGUCUAACAUGUGCGCGAGUCAUUGGGAUUUUUUGAAAAUUAAACCUAAAGGCGUAAUGAAAGUAAAGGUCGUCCUUGCGUCGACCGAGGGAGGAUGAGUUGUUUUACGAUACAGCUCCGCACUCCCGGGGCGUCUAAUUCUUAUUACAAGAAUAGGCGCACCUAGAGCGUACACGUU
rnacentral:rRNA from 1 species